CCUACGGGUGGCAGCAGUGGGGAAUAUUGCACAAUGGGGGAAACCCUGAUGCAGCAACGCCGCGUGAGUGAAGAAGUAUUUCGGUAUGUAAAGCUCUAUCAUCAGGGAAGAAAAUGACGGUACCUGAUUAAGAAGCCCCGGCUAACUACGUGCCAGCAGCCGCGGUAAUACGUAGGGGGCAAGCGUUAUACGGAUUUACUGGGUGUAAAGGGAGCGUAGACGGCAGAACAAGUCUGGAGUGAAAUGCCAGGGCUUAACCCCGGAACUGCUUUGGAAACUGUGAAGCUAGAGUGCAGGAGAGGUAAGUGGAAUGCGUAGUGUAGCGGUGAAAUGCGUAGAGAUUAAGAGGAACACCCGUGGCGAAGGCGGCUUACUGGACUGUAACUGACGCUGAGGCGCGAAAGCGUGGGGAGCAAACAGGAUUAGAUACCCUUGUAGUC
rnacentral:rRNA from 1 species